ACGAACGCUGGCGGCGUGCUUAACACAUGCAAGUCGAGCGGUAAGGCCCUUUCGGGGGUACACGAGCGGCGAACGGGUGAGUAACACGUGGGUGACCCUGCCCUCAGCUCUGGGAUAAGCCUGGGAAACCGGGUCUAAUACUGGAUAUGACUCCAUGACGCAUGUUGUGGGGUGGAAAGCCUUGUGCGGCUGAGGAUGGGCCCGCGGCCUAUCAGCUUGUUGGUGGGGUGAUGGCCUACCAAGGCGACGACGGGUAGCCGGCCUGAGAGGCGACCGGCCACACUGGGACUGAGACACGGCCCAGACUCCUACGGGAGGCGAGCAGUGGGGAAUCUUGCGCAAUGGGCGAAAGCCUGACGCAGCGACGCCGCGUGAGGGAU
rnacentral:rRNA from 1 species